GUUGCUUGGCGGGUGGGAACAUUUACACACCUCUGCUCCAAACCUUCCUUCUUCAGCGCCUCAUAGCUUACUAAUAAUCGCUCAGAUCCCAAGAGCAUCUUCUGUAACCUGACAGCCAAGGAGAGAAUUACCUGCCUGUACACACUCUGCCAGAGUGACCACUGUAACACACACACAAUCAUUGACUACGAUUUUAAUACAGUUGUAAAAUAUUUGGGUUAAAUAAAUAUUAUUGUAGUUUAAGCAGUAAGUCCGGGUUAAAGUGCAGAGUUUACCUUUCUGAGUUUGGAUCCAUGCCACUGCUUUCAUGGCCACAAACUGCCACUCAACCUGUGCAUCCAUCUGAAAACCAUGUAACCAGAUCAGAGCUAGCAGUGUAGCCCAGACCCCUGGAUCCACCUGCACAUAAACCACAUUUGAAGACAUGCCUACAUUACUACUACAUUCCAAAACAGGAAGUCAUCGAUGGCUUAACCUGUGCCAGUGUUGAAUCCAUUUCCCAGAAACCUGAAGCUUUCUGAAGAGAAACAAGCUGAGUCAAGGGGUCCUUUACAGAUUCAGAAGACUCUACAGAGACAGAAGUGCACAAAUAAACCUACAGAACAGAA